rnacentral:lncRNA from 1 species
CAGAACCAUAGAUAAAAGCCUUCCUUUUAGUUUCAGUUGCCUAUACAGCACUUUCCCUUACAAUACAAUAAAUUAACAAGUCAAUGGAAGAAGUGGUACCCCAAACAGCACAGCCUUCAUGUGAAACGAAACCUAUUUCUCUGUUUUGUAUUUUGGAGUUCCAAUAGGGAUUGUGACAACAGGAUGAUUUUGCUGACCUCACAGAAAACAAAAUAACAAAAGGAAAACAAUCAGAUGUCUUGUGCGAGAUGCCUGCAGAUGCUGUGAAUAAAGGCAGAACAGUAGCAGUUAGCCAUGUUUUGCUGCUGCUAAUCAGUAUGGGGUUUGUGUCUGGGAGUUCCUGAAUCUACACUUCGUUGCUUAUUCACCUACCGGGAGAAGAAAAGCAAUGUAGGAUCCCACUAUGUGAAAUCACACCAAAUAGCACUCUUAGCUCAAAUAAACAAAACACCCAUCACUUCAACUGGGAUUUCUGCAGGUACCAUUAGUCUCUCCAAAUUUAGAUGUGAAACUAAGACUCAAAGAGAACAAAGCACAUUCCCAAGACAAACAUCUAAGACAUUUUCUUCCCAAACCAAAGAUAGUGCUGCAUCUACCAUAUUACAGAGUGGCAUUGUGCCAUUGGCCUCGGUGACACAGUCUAUGGAAUGUUCUGAUAAAAUUUG